rnacentral:rRNA from 1 species
CGCUGGCGGUGUGCUUCACACAUGCAAGUCGAACGCGAAAGUCCUUCGGGAUGAGUAAAGUGGCGCACGGGUGAGUAAUACAUGAGAACAUGCCCUUAGAUGGGGAAUAACGUUUGGAAACGAACGCUAAUACCGCGUAAUCUCGCGAGAGUAAAGGUGGCGCCGCAAGGGCUACCGUCUAAGGAUUGGCUCAUGUCCCAUUAGCUAGUUGGCGGGUAAUGGCCCACCAAGGCAACGAUGGGUAUGUGGUCUGAGAGGAUGAUCACACACACUGGAACUGAGACACGGUCCAGACUCCUACGGGAGGCAGCAGGUAGGAAUAUUGCACAAUGGGGAAACCCUGAUGCAGCAACGCCGCGUGAGUGAAGAAGGCCCUUGGGUUGUAAAGCUCUUUAGCGAGGGAAGAAGGUAGAUACGGUGAAUAAUCGUGUUUGCUGACGGUACCUCGAGAAUAAGCACCGGCUAAUUUCGUG